rnacentral:rRNA from 1 species
CGUAGGUGCGAGCGUUAAUCGGAAUUACUGGGCGUAAAGCGGGCGCAGACGGUUAUUUAAGCAAGAUGUGAAAGCCACGGGCUCAACCUGGGAACUGCGUUUUGAACUGGGUAACUAGAGUGUGUCAGAGGGGGUAGAAUUCCACGUGUAGCAGUGAAAUGCGUAGAGAUGUGGAGGAAUACCGAUGGCGAAGGCAGCCCCCUGGGAUAACACUGACGUUCAUGCUCGAAAGCGUGGGUAGCAAACAGGAUU